rnacentral:lncRNA from 1 species
AGAUCCAGAGUCUACUGCAAAUGUGCCACGUCAAGGCUAGAAAUCGCAGCACUUCAGCGCAUUUCAAGGAGUGUUGCAGGGCUUGAAGCAAAGAGGAGAACAGAGCCUGAUGCGGGAAGGGGAUUUUCCCCCCCACAGACUAAAGGAGGAUUAUUGUUAAUCUCACCCUAUCCUGCUCCGUCGCCCCAGUGUUCAGACUACCUGUUCAGGACAAUGCUGUUGUACAGUAGUCUGCACAUUGGUUAGACUGGGCAAGGGAACGCAGCGGCCUGGACUCCCGAGAACAUCGCGCACAGAAGAGCAGGAUGGCUCCUUUCAGAACUGACCUAGAGUCUUUUUCUUCACAGGUUUUGCAUGCUAGGAAAUAGGGACACUGUCCAGGCACACGGGAAGAGGACUUCUCUGAGUAAUGCACGGAAGACAUUCCGGUAAGGCCACUUCAGAAGAGCGUCUGACCUACGAUCUGGAAAUAGGGGACACUCCUUACCCUGCUGUGUCAGGCAAGAAAACUGGACCUCUCCUGGUGAGCUAGUACACAAGCAAGAAAAACAAAAGGUAUAGCUUGGACCCAUAGGGGGCAUAGGAGAAUGAAAUGCUGCCAUUGCCACUGGUAAAAGUACGGCAAUUUUAAAAUGCCAUAUUUUUUUAAAAAAAUUACUAAUACUAUUUAUGCAUUACCUGCAGAAUACUAAUAAUAAUUAAAUUGUGGAAGUGUGGAAAAAAAUUGAGUAGGUGUCUUCAGCACUACUGGUAUUAUUUAAUAUUUAUACAUUUCAGAUUUUAAAUUCAGUUUAAGAAUAUUAUUUCUAUUUAUACAAAUGAAAAUUAUUGAUUAUCUUAACCCCAAAUCUGAAAAAUACUUGUUUACAAAAAGCCCGAUACACUUCUUUCCUGAUCCUGUACACAAUAUGUGGACAAAUAUUCCUCCGAAAUCAAUGGAGCCUAUUCCCACCUAAUAGCCCCCUUCCCCCAGACAAGCGAUGCUCAUCUACACAAAAGUGCUGGAGUGUCUGAGUAUUUUGUGUGUAGGAGCUGCGAGAGGCAGCAACACAGAUCAUGCCCUAGUGCUGAAGCAAAGCCCCACACAUUGCGGAGGUCAGAGCUAACUGCUUGCCUGAAUUGUCUUCCGUUCCCUGUGCAUUUUGAGGCACAGCAGCCAGUUGCUUCUCCCCAUCUCCCCACACAGUGCUCUGCCUUUCCCCUUGCAGCCCAUCUCUCCCUGGGAUUUGCUCCCACCCCUGCAUGGGCCACCCAGCGGCCUCUCCACGUGGAAUAAGGAAUCACUUGCAUUCAAGUUAAUGUCUUUAGGAUCAGAAUGCCAAAUCAGAAACAUCUUUAAAGACAUCUGUUAAAAUAGUGGACCUGUGCAAUUCAUUAUCACAAAAAAGAGCAAUCAAAACUAGGUGCAAUCACAGAUGAUUUGCAACAGGUAGCCAAGGCAGACCUCUUCAUCAAAAUCAAUAAAGAUCUUGUGGCACAGGUAUCAUGCCAUAAGUUUUCACCAGAUGCAGGAAGUUUUAUUCUGAAGAUAACUUUUGUUCCUCUAAACGUCUAUGCCUUGCUGAUGGAAGCCCAGGAUUCAUUAAGACUUUGAGGCCACAGAGCCUACAGACUAAGUUCCUGGACCAUGAAUCCCACUGAUAAAAGUGGAAUUUGUAAAAAGAUGAAAAUGUUUCCUUUGGUGCAUUUUCAACUAUCCUAUUACGGUGGUGGGGAAGGGGUAGAACUUGGUACUGAAUGAAAGUCUUCAUGGAAGGAACGGCAGGGGAUGGGUGGGGGGGUGGAUGGAAAUCUGUGCUGUAAUUCGAUACCCUCUUCACUUCAAAGGACAUUUCUUUAAGCUUUAAGCUUGGUAUUGGUUAAAAAAGAAUAUUUUCAAGCUUUGAAUGAAGAUUUUAAGUUAAAUACACUGCAAGCACAGAUACUUGUGUUAUAAUUGCAAACAAAAUUAUAUAUGCACAUUAUUAUAAUUUACAUUCCUGCACCCCCUCUCCUCACCCCUCCCCUCUUGUAGUCUCAAAAAUUCACUACAAGUUUCAUUGUGGGCUAAACUAGACAGUAUAUUAAAUGUGCAUAUAUCUUUAAAAUGUCUUAUUUUUACUUUAUAAAUAGCAGACACAGGAGGGGAGGGAAUCAGGAUGGUGUGGGGGGGGCACCAAUUAUUUCACUCUGUGCUGCAAUCCUGGUAUAAAAAAAAUACCCGCCACCCCCACCCCCCAAAAAACCAAGAAGCUGAUACCCCUCUCAGGAGAGAAGCUGCCAUCAAGUGCCAAGGACAGCUUCCCUCCUGGGGCAAAGAGCAACCUUUGUGCUUGGAGAAAGGACGGGCAUUUUUUUGCCAGGAGAGCAAUGCAACAAAUUUAGGGUAGAAAAACAACCCCCCUCCCCCACCUCAUGCCAGGUUCCCAAGUGGGCAUAGACCAACUCUUAUUUUUAAAUUAAAAAGUGGAUGUAUUAAAUGGAUACAUGCACAUAGUAAGUGGUCUCAUAUGACCGUCUCUCUGGUCCCCAAAAUGCUCCAAGUGUCCGUAGGUCUUCCAAUCCUCGUGCCGGGGACAUAGGGCUAGGUGUCAGUCAUCCCCUCUGCUGCUGCCUCAUUCUACACAUAGUUACUCUGCUUUUAUCGACUUACUCUCAGGUUAGCAGGACUGCAGUCUUAGUUUCAAGCCAUCGUAUCUAUGUUUGUACCAGACUUUUAUCAUGUUAAAGCCUGUCAUUUGUUGCUGUUGUUUUAACAAAUAGCAAGCACAAAGUUGCAGUUGCAAAUUCAAAGGAGCCGAAUGUCAUGAAAAGAGAAACAUAAAAUGUUAACAAUUUUUAAAUUAUUGCUUUGAUCUUUCACUUGAUUUUAUAACUAGACAGCACAGUGGCAAACUUUUGUGGCAUAUAAGGAGGGGUCAAUUCAGGUGGGGGGACCAAAAAUAUUUUCCAAGGAAUGGUGAACAGGCUGGCUAUCAUGCAAGUAGCAAUACAGAUUUGGGGUCAGUACGUUUAAAAAAUAUUAAUUUGUUUCCCGUAUUUUAUUAAUAAGAAUCAAGACAAAAAAGGAAAUAUUCCAGUUCUAAAUGUCUUCUUACUGUACAACUACAACAACUGGAGUGAAAUCCCCCUGGAAUUCACAUUCUGCUGUCUAGAAACAAGCCGUGGGUAGAAAUUGUCUGCAUUUCCUCUCACGUGUAUCUCUCAUUUUCAUUUGCCAGACGGUAGAGGGGAAACGGCAAAAGUGCAGACAAAGAGAGGGAGAACCAGCAAAGGCCAGAGAAGGAAAAAAAUCUACAUGGCUAGGCAAGGAUCUUAAAUACUGUCUUUGGGGAACACUGAUUUGUAGGAAGUCAACAAACACAAAGAUCCAAUAAUGUUUUUGUGUGUCUCUUGAUUUGAGAUUUGUAGGAAUUUGGUGAUAAAACCAAGGGUUUGAAGAUGCAGUUCAACAUGUUAUUCUUAAUUUAUAAAGCUUAUUCAAGAAUGAGGCUGAAAUGAGAAAGUUUGUUUAGUGGAAAAUGCAAAGCAGAAUUAGGUCCCGUAGUUCAUUGCUACAUGGUCACUACAUGUUGUGGUGAAUGAGGAAGAUAGUAGUGUUGCAGAGCCAGCAUAUGAAACUCUUUAAAAUCCUUAAAGUAUUAAGUAAUCCCAUUUUUUUUAUGCUGUGCUUGCAGCAUGCUCUGUUUUUCCAUUUUACCACAUAGAGCAAAACCCGAGGAAAAAGCUCUCUAAAUUAAGUAGUUGCAGUUUGAGAUUAGAAAGAAAAAGUUUAAGACAGCCACCAUUUCCUUUAGUGAGGCAGAAAAUACAGCUGAGGUGAAGGAUGAUUUCAGUUAUCUGCAGAAUGAUUUCCAGCAGCCAUCCCAAUCGAGACAAUGCAGCUGAUGACAAGAUUUACUCCCUACAUUUCUGCUUCUUUCCACCCCCAUGUUAGGCAACCCUUGCAUUCGAGAAUCUCUUCCUCUCUAACAAAGAAAUGUCUGCAGACCACCCAAGGAUCCUUGUCCUGAGGAAAUUCUGUAAACAAAAUUAAACUCCAUUAGCCAAGCAUUUUUAACAAUGAUAAAAGAAAUAAAAAUUGACCAAUCAGGUUUAUGCAGGAGUAUAGGUGCAAUAAAACUUUACAUUACCUGCAGUAUCUAAAAUAGUUUCUCAUACUUGCACAUCCCCAUAUUUCUAUGUUUGCUUUUACUUUCACAAAACUAAAAUAAAAACUUAGUACCAAAAGGCUGGCAAGGGAUGGGGUCAAACAGGAAAUGGGUGAAAUAGUCGUCUAUCAUCAUCAUCCAUCAUCAUUUCUAUGCCACUUUAUUUUGUGGGGGGUUGUCUCAAAGCGGUUUAGACCAAAGGAAGGAGAUAAGAGAAGUAUUUUUACAUAGCAUCUAACAGCACCUCCCAAAAAAACAAAGCAGCAUUUGCAGAAGGUAAAUUUGCAUUUGCAAAAAUUAAGAAACAACAUUUCAACACAACUCUGCAUUUUCUAUAAAAUCUUAAAGCUUGGGGAGAACUAGCUGUGAAUGCUGUAUCUGAGUAUGUUUUGGCUAUUAGUUGUAUCUUUUUCAAAAUCAAUACAAUCGGGACAAUGGAAUUCUAAUAAUGUGCUGAAAGUAGAGUCUUCAACAUUUUAAAAUACAUGUCUUGAAUAUUACUAACCUGUAGCAGCAGCAUGUGAGAGACACAGUUAUAGAGUGAAUGUAAAACAUACAUUUCCCCAUAUGACUAGAAAGCAUUUAAAUAGCGUGACACGUCUUGUAACAGCCCCCGCAGCCUUCAAGCUUUCAGUUCAGCCAGUGCUUUAUUGUUAGUUGUCAAUAUUCCUUUAUUGCACACUUACUGUUCUUUGAAGAUUGAAUUUUGGCAAACCACAACAUACUUCACACCAAAUUAAAAGAGCAAAGUAUAUCAUGAACUUUUAAUGGAGUUUUCUAAAAAAAAAAAUUAUAUGCAUAUCAUAAUAAGAUUCUCUCCCCCCCCCCCCCAGCCACCAAAAUGAAAUACUAAUUAAACUCUCCUUCCUUGGAGGUUUUUAAAGAGAGGUUGGAUGGUCAUCUGUCAUGGCUGCUUAAGUUGAGAUUCCUGCAUUGCAGGAAGUUGGACUGGAUGACCCUUGGAGUCUCUUCCAACUCUAAGAUUCUGUGAUUCUAUGAAUAUGGUGAUGUAUUCUGUUUCCAUGUAACACUGCUGGGGUGCAGGAGGACAAAUUGCUGUUCUGAAGUAUCAAGUUCAUAAGGAUCUGACACGUGUUCUGUUUCUGCAUUUUUGAUGCACAAAUCACACUUUUGAGAACUGACUUUAUACUGGCGUUUAUAACAUUGCUUUUUUUAAAAAAUUGGGUGCAAUAUAAUUCAUGUGGCAAAUCAAAUGUGAAUUGUGUAUAAAAGUUCUUACACACUGUGAGCUUUUAGGCCAACAGCCGUCAGCUGGACCAUUUUGGAAAUGGCAACUUCCACCAACAGGACAAUGUUUUAUGCAUAUUUUGAAAACCCAAACACAUAUUGGGUAAAUAUAUCCUUAAUUUUAAAACCCAGUAAUGCUUUCUUAGCACAUAUUUUUACAUCCACCCACCCACCAUGAAUGCAGACUUUUUGAAAUGAAUUAAGAUUUGUUCUGGGCGCAUGUCUUGCUGCAAUCUCCGUCUUGUGUAUGUCAAGAAAAAAUAAUAAUAAUGUAAAGAACAGCGCAAGUUUUCUAAAUAAAGUAAACGUCUUCUUUGUUUGAGAGCUCCCCAAUGUGUAAAGUUUGCUUGUGUACCGUGCCUUCCCCCUCCUUCUGCCGUGAAGUCAGGCUGCUAAGCCCAGAGCAGAGCAUCCCUGCUGGAGCAAUGGGCUGGCCGGCCAGAGUUGCCAUGUGUCUGCCUGUCUACACUUGCUGUGCAGAACAUGCACUCACCUGUACAGCAGGCACAGACAGGCAGUCACAUGACAACCCAGCCUGAAAGACAACCAGCCAAUGAGAGAGCCUCUCUGACGAGAGCAUCUUCACCACGUCACUUCUGGAUCUCAUUCUGUUGGUUCAAGAACUAAAAUCAUGUAUACAGUUUAUUGCCAGUUUGUACAAAACUUCUGAAGGAAGCCAGCGAUUAACAGUACCUACAAAAUGCAAUAAAACCCACUGCUG